rnacentral:lncRNA from 1 species
AAUUUAAUAAAACUUUUGACGUUACCGUGUAUAAAAACUCAAAUUUAAAAAAAAUAGAAGUCGGAAAAGUCUUAAUUAAACAUUGUUUAGAAGAUAGUUGAUAUAAGAUUUAUUAUUUUAAAAUUUUAAUCAUCAAACUUAUUCUUCAAAAUUUUUCAAUUUUUAACAUUUUAUUAGCUAAAGAUUAAUUUGACAAUUUUCGUUUAAAAAUAUAUUUACC